rnacentral:rRNA from 1 species
AGGGAAUCUUCCGCAAUGGACGAAAGUCUUACGGAGCAACGCCGCGUGAGUGAAGAAGGCCUUCGGGUCGUAAAACUCUGUUGCCGGGGAAGAACAAGUGCCGUUCGAACAGGGCGGCACCUUGACGGUACCCGGCCAGAAAGCCACGGCUAACUACGUGCCAGCAGCCGCGGUAAUACGUAGGUGGCAAGCGUUGUCCGGAAUUAUUGGGCGUAAAGCGCGCGCAGGCGGCUUCUUAAGUCUGAUGUGAAAUCUUGCGGCUCAACCGCAAGCGGUCAUUGGAAACUGGGAGGCUUGAGUGCAGAAGAGGAGAGUGGAAUUCCACGUGUAGCGGUGAAAUGCGUAGAGAUGUGGAGGAACACCAGUGGCGAAGGCGGCUCUCUGGUCUGUAACUGACGCUGAGGCGCGAAAGCAUGGGGAGCAAAC